GGGGGGGUGUAAAUCACACACGCCCCCGUACCGGCCUCAGUCCGAUGGCUUGGUAGAGCAGGCCAAUCGCACUAUUCAGAUUGCUCUUCGGGCGUACGUCGUGGGUGAUCAGGCCUCGUGGGACAAACAUCUUUCCCUGGUGCAAUUUGCCUACAAUACAGGGGUCCACCGCUCUACCGGGUUUACUCCCCAUCUUGUCCUGUUUGGGAGGGAGGCCCGUCUACCCUUAGACUUGUUCUUACCUCCACCUAAUACCCCCGUCGAAACCCCUUUGCCUGUGUACUUGUCCAAUCUUCGGUCGUCUUUGGGUCAGGCUUUUGGCGUUGUAAGUGACCGCCUUGUAGCCCAGAGAGUGGCUAAGGCAGCGUACGAUCGCCGAACUAAACUACCCAGGGUAAAACCUGGGGACUAUGUUUGGCUCCACGCUGUUCCGCCCCCUGGGUCCAGCCCUAAGCUGUUCCGCCCCUGGACUGGCCACUGGCAGGUGGAAGUGGUGAAGGGAGUUGUGUGUGCUAUUGUCGGGGUGGGUCCUCCUCCUUCACCCCGACAUUCUAAGCACCUGACUGCGCAUGUGGAUAGGUUGUGGGUGGUGCAGGGUAAGGUAGUUGUUUCCCCAGGGGUUCCAGCUACCGGGCCCGCCACGCCUGAAAGACCGGCGGUUGCCUCCAUGGGUGGGCCUGCUCUGUUUCUGCCGGCCCCAUUUGCGUGGUCGAUCCCCGGGUUCGUUCAGCCCCCGGGUUACCUCCCCACACCUCCCCCAUCUCCGGUGGCUGUGCCCCCUGCUGGUGCUCAGGGUUCCCCUCCCUUGGUGGGUAGUCCCCCGGGCACCCCUGCCCCGAGUCCUCCUGAUUCUCCUCGCCUGGGUACCUCUUCCUUGCCGGGUAGUCCUUUGGUGACCCCGACGCAGAGCCCUCCGGUUUCUCCCACCCAUCCUACUCCGCCCGGGAUACUACAUCCUCGGCGGACGUGUGCCCUGCCCCUGGGUGGCUAUGCUGCCCUUGAGGAGGGUCAGUUAGACCUCUCGUGGAGGGGUUGAUAAUGUAAAUAUUUUAUACCAUGGAUACUCCCAGUUGGUUUUGUUUCGUCUUUCUCUUCUCUUUUUUCUUGUCUUUUUUGCUCAGUGUCGCCCUCGCCGACCCGGCCAUGGUGUUGGACCUAAUCGAGGAGUGGGAAACGUUUUUCGAUUCGCUUCCCGAAGACCUGCGUCCGACUUCCUUUCUGACCGCUCCCUCGCCGGUGAUGUCUGCAGCGCCAGCGGUGCCUCGCCGCCGACGGUCUCAGCGCGCUCGCCGGAGGCCCUGGGCACACCGAGCGGCGCAGCGUCGCGCCGCCCUCGCUGCUCUGUCACCGGCUGGUGAGGAAGGAUUUUUUUAUGUGGACGUAUGUUGUCCCUGCCCUUUUGGAGGGUAUGUGCCCCUUUUGGCACACGUGUGCUGGGUCCGCGUGGUCGGUGUGCGGACCGCGUGCGGACCGUGCGCGGACUGCGCAGGUUGCCCAUGCCUGCAUUUGGAGGCAUUCUUUUUGUUCUGGUUUUGCCUUCUUCUUGAGACUCUCUUUGGAGUGAAGACAAAUAUCAGUCCUCUGUUUGUGGAACAUGUGAGAGAGUAAUCGGAAGGGCUAUCGUUAGAUCAUAAAAAAACCCGACGACAUAUGCAUAGUGCAAAGGGGGGUCAAUGGUACUUCAUGUUGCUACAGAUUGUCCCAUCUUGACCAGUGAUGGGCUGGUCUGCAGCCAAAUUAAUAUUGAUAUCUCAUCAGUUUACUAUUUUUCUUGUCAUUGUCAGUCUCUGUUUCUCUUUGUGUUUAUCUGUCUGUCUCUCUCUCUCUCUCUCUCUCUCUCUCUCUCUCUCUCUCUCUCUCUCUCUCUGUGUCUCUCUCUCUCUCUCUCUCUCUCUCUCUCUCUCUCUCUCUCUCUCUCUCUCUCUCUCUCUCUCUCUCUCUCUCUCUCUCUCUCUCUCUCUCUCUCU